CUACGGGAGACAGCAGUAGGGAAUUUUCCGCAAUGGGGGAAACCCUGACGGAGCAACGCCGCGUGAGGGAAGAAGGUUUUCGGAUCGUAAACCUUUGUCAACGAGGACGAUAAUGACGGUACUCGCUGAGGAAGCCCCGGCUAACUACGUGCCAGCAGCCGCGGUAAUA
rnacentral:rRNA from 1 species